rnacentral:rRNA from 1 species
UACAGAGGUCUCAAGCGUUGUUCGGAUUCAUUGGGCGUAAAGGGUGCGUAGGUGGCGAGGCAAGUCAGAUGUGAAAUCCCGGGGCUCAACCCCGGAACUGCAUUUGAAACUGCCUUGCUCGAGUACUGAGAGGAGAGCUGGAAUUACGGUGUAGCAGUGAAAUGCGUAGAGUAUCAGGAGGAACACCUAUUGCGAAGGCAGCUCGCUGGGACGUAACUGACGCUGAGACGCGAAGCGUGGGGAGCAAACAGG